GAUUUGGUGAUAUUAGGCAAGGUAUUAGGCAUUUUUCAGUCACACCAUUCCCGUGGUAUUAUGGGGUUCAUUGCUGGCAGUGGUUCAGGAGACAGUGGUUCGAUCCAGCUGUAGAACGUCACCUGCAGGAAGUAGCAUUGUGAUGGCCAGCCACGUGGCGCGUGUAUCCAGCCACAUUGUCCAGAAACCAUCACAUCAUCUCCAGGUCACUGGUCGCGGGUGCUCGAGUUGACUGUGUCUUCAACGGCUCCACGGUGACCAGCGCCGCCACCGCCGAGACCAUCCGAUUCCUGAAAUGAUAAUGGCCGUACACGAACAAGAGGCUCUAUGCAUCCAGAUGCAAGUCAAGCGCCAUGCUCAGAGGCGUCAUCCGGAGAAGGCCGCACAGUGCACUUUAGGCUGAGCUCGGGUGUAGUGCGCGCUGACGGAUAGGAUGAAAUUACGGGCCGGCCAUCAGAUUUCAGUGCGGGGAUGAAGAUGGUCGGAGCCGACGUGGCUCGGUUGAUGGUGUGCCAGGAGGGCUGUUCACGGGCC